rnacentral:tRNA from 1 species
GAAAUAAAUAAUAAAUUGAACUUCUAAUUCAAUAAUUAAUGAUAUGAAAAUCAUUUUAUUUCU